CUAGAAUCUAGUACCUCUCCUCUUCACAGCAUAGAAGAAAUGAAUAAUGAAAGAGGAAAGGAACUUUACAAAGUAUCUUUUCAAAACAUCAUCACCAUGGACCUUCACAACUACCCUGGGAGCCUGGAAGGAACUCCAAACCUCAGAAGGUGCCUGCCCUAUGCACAUCCUUUGCCUCUUCCCCAGCACCAAGAAAAUGUGAGGCAUCAUCCCUUUCCCUCUACCUGGAGAGAGCUCUAGACACCGCUGGAAGCAGCAUUCAGAGAGAAGACUUGGUUAUUUUCCAGAAAAAGGCAGAAGAAAGCCGAGAGGACCCAGGCUGGGCAGUGCCACAGAAACCAUCAGGCUAGUAAAACAGUUUUUUUGAAAGUAAGAGGCCACAUGGAGUCUCCUGGCUUAUGCUCAAGGCUUAGUAGGUUUGUGAGUGUUAGUAACUGCUCACCCUUCUGGUUUUGUACAGUGGGAAUGAAGGCUUCUUGGGCUGCUGUGAGAAUGAAAUCAGAUUACUGCAUGUUAAUUUUUAAGCAUAGUGCGGGACACAGAG
rnacentral:lncRNA from 1 species